rnacentral:rRNA from 1 species
UGCGCGGAAGAUGUAACGGGGCUAAGUAGUAAACCGAAGCUGCGGCAAUGUGCUUUUGCACAUUGGGUAGGGGAGCGUUCUGUAAGCGGUUGAAGGUGUGUGGUAACGCAUGCUGGACGUAUCAGAAGUGCGAAUGCUGACAUGAGUAACGAUAAAGGGGGUGAAAAACCUCCUCGCCGGAAGACCAAGGGUUCCUGUCCAACGUUAAUCGGGGCAGGGUAAGUCGACCCCUAAGGCGAGGCCGAAAGGCGUAGUCGAUGGGAAACGGGUUAAUAUUCCCGUACUUCUUACAAUUGCGAUGGGGGGACGGAGAAGGCUAGGUGGGCCUGGCGACGGUUGUCCAGGUUCAAGUGCGUAGGCUUGAGAGUUAGGUAAAUCCGGCUCUC